rnacentral:lncRNA from 1 species
AUUUCUUUGGGAGAUUAAUGAAAAUGUGUUAAAAUUUAUUGUGGUGAUGGGUAUACAACUCUGGGAAUACACUAAAACCCAUUUAAUUGUGCAUUGAAAAUGAGUUAGUUGUAAUGGUAUGUGACUAAUACCCAAGAAAGCUGUCACCAAAACAAAAAACCCUUGCUGAGGAGAAAUAGUCAGACAUAGAAAUAUGGUCAUGGUAAAUUAUACAACACACACACACACACUAAGGUUGCCAGGAGGCAUUUGGAACAGUCGCCCCCUAACCUCAGCCCAACUCAAUAUUCUCUUUCGUCCGUUCCCUGCCCCCUCCAAGCAGUUUUGAGCCCUCUGUGUAUUCUUUGCAUCUGCAGCUCUCGCUCAAGAACUGGUUAAGUAACAUUUUGCAUAAAUGAGUGAGCAGAAAUGGGCGGAGUGAAGGUCCUAAACGGCCUCACUGAGCGCCCCCAAGUGGCGGCUGAUCUCUCGUAUCACCGUCCAAUACAGGGUUUUCUAUCCCUGCCCCAGACUUCACCACUCCGGCAAGAAGAAAUACACGAUCGCCACGAAGAAGCUCACAACCCUCAGCCUCCUAUGCACAGAUUCAGUUUUUUUGGGCUCAGGAUGGGGAACCUGGCUGGGGGCAGCGCCUUGAACCCUCCCUGAUCCCCAUCCCCAGCUGAAUGCUUCAGCCCCAUGAUCACACCACUGUAUUUUCCAGAUGAGAGGGAGCCACUCUGCUGGACCCUACAUCUCAGCCGGCCUUGAACUAGCCUCACACGGGGCCGAGUUGCGGCCAGAAUGGAGGAAUCACCACGGCGUGGGACACUUUGGUACCAAAAUGAACAACGGAACAAACAAUACCCUAAGAGAAUAUGGCGGCGACCCUUUAAGACCAUCAUUCACAAGCAUUCUGAGGCUUUCCACUCAUUUCCUCCAUUUGAUCUUAUCAGAUAAGAAACAGUUAAGCAGGUUCAGCCCAGGUUCUUAAAAUUCCUACCCCCUCAUUGGCUAUGGCGGAGACAGACUAGAAGACUUGGCUUCCGAAAGUGCGCGGUGAUUGGACAACUCGCCUCAUCGAAAUAAAGCGCUGAUUGGUGUCUUGGACCAGACUCUAGGACGCUGUUGCUAGGUAACGACUGACAGCUGUUUAUGCGCAAGAUGGAGGAGGUUCAGAGGAGGUAAUCAUGUAUUGAGGCCAUGUAGUUCAGCGUGAUUCUCCCUUGGCUGCUUUUGUUCCCUUGGUCCACAAGGCUUUCAAGAGUGUGUCCUGGCUGUAAAAUAAACUGGGCUCCUGUCCUGAGAGAAGUUAAUUCUAGAGUGCUGAGCAUAUUUAUGGAACUUUUACAGCGUGCCAGGUGUGCAACAGCCUAUCCCAGACCUAUCUGGCUGCACAUUCAAUGCUCUGCCCACUGACCUUAUCACUAGGGGUUUCCCUUGUAAGACAUCACGCCCUUGAGCGACUCAGAUCAGGCCUAGAUGCCUGUGAGACUUUAGUGACUUACAGAAGUGUCCUCUCCACUACUCUUGAGGGCAGAGUGGGUAAAAUCAGAACCGUAUUCUAUAUUGCUCCUAAGCACCUCAUACUGUAGCAGUAGUAAUAAAAACAACAACAUAAUGUGCCAGGUACUGGGCAGAAGCAUUUCAAAAAUCUCAUUUGAUUCUUAAAACAAUCCCAUGAAACUGAUAAUCUUGUUUCGCAAUUGGGGAGGCUCACACUUAGUCCAGCAAGAAAAUUCCAAAGUCACACUGAUAAGUCAAGGAGUGCUCAAUUGAACCAAUGCAUCCAACUCUGAAACCCAUGUGUUCUAACCAUUGUGUUAUAUGGCUAUUCUUUUGGCACAGCAGUUGCUCAAAUAUAUUGAAAGAAAAAAAUGUUUACUUUCCCUUUCCCUUGUGGUUCUCCACCCCGUCUCCAAAAAAUAGGUUAUGUUUCUACUUCUGGUGGUCUUCAGUGCACCCUCAUCCCAUUCACCCCCUUUAAAGACCAUAAGGCACAGGAUAUAUGAUAGGCUCCUAGUUCAGGGGAAAGAGCUCAGGUUACAGAGUCAGGGGAAUAUCCCUUAAAUCCUGGCUCCAUCUUGUGGUAGCUAUGUGAUGUAAGCAAGUUACUACAACUUGCC